rnacentral:rRNA from 1 species
UACAGAGGGUGCAAGCGUUAAUCGGAAUUACUGGGCGUAAAGCGUGCGUAGACGGUUGCGUAAGUCAGAUGUGAAAGCCCCGGGCUCAACCUGGGAAUUGCAUUUGAGACUGCGUAGCUAGGGUGCGGAAGAGGGAAGCGGAAUUUCCGGUGUAGCGGUGAAAUGCGUAGAUAUCGGAAGGAACACCAGUGGCGAAAGCGGCUUCCUGGUCCAGCACCGACACUCAGGAGCGAAAGCGUGGGGAGCGAACAGG